CGGUCCUUUAACUCGGGACUGCGUAAUAACCACGGAGCGCUUGGAAGACAAACGAUGUCAUCUUCCUUCUGUCAGGAGGAUCCAAGUGAAGCUACAGGAGUUUCAUUAACGUCAAUAACUUGGACCGAACACUUUGUUUUGCUUGAUGAAGAGCAGGAAGGGCAGCCUGGAGAGAAAGAGAAGCCGGGUUGAGCCCACUACCAUCAUCCACGUACCACGAGGAAGAUGAGGGAGAGAAAUGAUCCUACCAUUAAAGAGACUGUGAAAAGAACGUUGAGAACAUCACCACUCUACAGGAAGACACAGUCCAGUAAUGGGUGUCAGAAGUUCAGUAGUGAACGACGGGUACUGUGGAAAAAUGGGUGUCAUUGUUGUACAAUGUCCUUUGACUCUGUUUACACAAGGUUAACACAAAAAGGUUUGAUUGUAGACUGAUAUUGGUAUGAAUUCAUGUUAUUCUCCUCUUCAAAAGAAACAAACAAUCAAAAUUACCUGCAGAAAGCCCUUGAUGGACGCUUCAGCUGCAUCGUCAGACUGGAAGGACUGAUGCAUUUACUGAGACGGGACGUGAGGGCCUACUCUGCGUGCUCAGAGUUCAAGCCCAGCAGGCUGCAGCGGGCCUGACAUAUUCUGGAACAGCAGCACAGUCUUUGGAUGACUCCUCUGAAGAUGAAAACAUGGUGAGUUCUUCUCAAGAGAAGCAGUACAGGUGUGCCUCAGCUCCACGGUCCCUCCUGCAGCCUCUGCUCCUGAUGCUAACCUCAUGUCUCCAUCACACCAAGCAGCAGACCUUGAUUGACAGACCUUUCUCCAGAGCUGCCCCCUCCCUCUGAAACCCCCUUCUCCAAAACACUAUUUGUGGCGUUUUUAAAGUCUUAUUUGCAUGAGAAUUGUUGAUCAUAACAUUUCCAGCAGA